rnacentral:rRNA from 1 species
GGAGUAACACGUAAAGAACCUGCCUCAUAGACUGGGACAACUAUUGGAAACGAUAGCUAAUACCGGAUAACAGCAUUAACUGCAUGGUUGAUGUUUAAAAGUUGGUUUUUGCUAACACUAUGAGAUGGCUUUGCGGUGUAUUAGCUAGUUGGUGGGGUAAAGGCCUACCAAGGCGACGAUGCAUAGCCGACCUGAGAGGGUGAUCGGCCACACUGGGACUGAGACACGGCCCAGACUCCUACGGGAGGCAGCAGAA